AACAAACUUCCAUGAAAUUGCCUGUUCAACAGCCGUCAAGCUUAAACUCUUCAUGGGCAGUUGAUGACUUGAUGCAGUUCUCAGACUUCGAAUCAACCACUGACAAGGUAAUGAAAUUGAUAUAUGGAUUCAAUACCAUUACUCAACAUUUAUAUUCCUAUUUUAUUGUCUUUGCAAAGACUAACAAUAUUGGAGAACUUCGGAAUAAUAUUACCAAGAAAAGACGAGAACUAUUUGGUUCUAGCCUAGCUUUAUCUAUUUUUGGGUUAAGCACCAGAACAACUAACCUUUGUUUCAAAUUUGCAAUUUUGGCCAAUCCUUUUUUAUUUUUUCAUUUUCAUACGCAAUUUUUCAUAGUAAUGUGGAUUGUAGCCAAACUUUGAAAGAAGGUUUGCCAAAACUCUCAAAUCAGUGAAAAGGUUCAGAUUUUUCUCUUCCUUUUUCUUUUUAAUUUUCAAAUGUUAAAUAAUAAUUAAUACUUCCUAAAACUAAUACCUUUUGGAGGGUCUUUCACUUGAAUAUUACCACAUUAGAUGCUAAUAUGAAAAAAACUAUCGAACGAAACAUAUGCUGUGGUAAUAAUUUGAGAAUUUUAGUAUACAUCCUUUCAAGUUUGGCUACACUGGAGACCAAUGCAAAAUGUUGUGUAUGAUUUCAGUUUUAUUUAACUAUGUAAUAGGAAUCAAUACUAUAUAUAGUCAAUUUUUUGAAACUAGUGCUUGAUUAUUUUUUGGUACACAUAUUUAUGUUUACAGCUUACCAAGUUGAGUUAAUUCUUAUAUCAACCUUAGUUGGUAGCCUCAUUUCAAGAGAAAUAGCCAUAGAAAUUAUAUGAACGAAAUAAACUAAAUUGAAAAGCAAUCUCUGAUCAAACAAUUUUCAUUGUAAAAGAAAUUUGUCAAGGUUUAUAUUAAAAUAGCUCAGCGAAGUUUAUGAAUGUCACUAGUUCUUCAAAUUAUCUGAAUCUGCACUUCAUUUCCCAUGCGUUUCAACAUUUUGAUGGUUUGCAUUUAUUAACAAGCUAAAUCUUCCAGCUCUGAAUUUUGAAUGCAUGAUUAUUUUUCCUUCUUUGUUAUUGGAAGGACAAUGAUGAUGAAACUGUUGAUUGAAUUUUAUCUUAAAAAUCUUCAGGUGUUGUUAAACAUUCUUGUUUCUUCUUAUAUCUGCAGAAAGAGCAUCUUGAAUUUGGAGAGUUUCAGUGGUUAGCUGACGUGGGACUUUUCGGUGAGCAACUUCCUCAAGAGGCACUAGCAGCAGCUGAAGUUCCUCAAUUGACAGUUCCACCGUCAGUCAAUGUUACUUCAUACAGAGCAUCCAAGUCCAACAUGCCUAAUAAGAAGCCUAGGAUUGAGGUUUGCAAUGAAGAUGAAGAGUUCUUUACAGUACCUGAUCUUGGCUGAAGUGGGUCAUAUACUCUAUUACUCGGUUUUAUGGUUUGGUAAACUAUACGUAAUAUACAUGCAAUGAAUGUAUCUGCGUAUUUUAUCACAAGAUAUGUUAGGAGAAACAUAAAGGUUAGUUUAGGGAAUUUACAUAUUCUACAUUAUAUUAUAUUAUUAUUUUGGUUCACCAGUAUGGCAGUAUCACUCUCUGCUAUUGGGUGUAACAAUCAUGCCAUCCACUGUGAUGGUCGUGAUUAUGAUAUUGGAACUGGAUCAGUGCUUUUGUUGCUCUUUUAUGUUUCACUGUCUUGAAUCUUUAUCUUAGUGAUUACAUUGACCUUGUAUGGAUUGUUUUCUCCUGGACAACUGGCUUCGUUUUGUGAGCAAUCAAGAAGAGGAUUAAAGCAAGCAUUUCUUCAAGUUCAGCUAGGAAGCAAUGUCAUUUAAAAUGGAGAAGAGUUACUCUCUUGAAUGGAAGCAUCAUCUUAAUGUCAUCCACCGACAAACCCGAUGGUCCAUGAUUCUGUUGGCCAUUAGUCAAGCCUGCUUUAAGCUCAGAAGAUGGUCGGCUUGCGCCUGCACCUAUGAAAAACCAAGCUGCACCGCAUGCCGAAGACCAAACAACAGCACCUAACCUUCAGCAAUAACCGAGUUCAAAGCAACACUCUGGUGUUUACAAGGUGCCGAGACAAUUAAACCAGUUGAGGAAGAAGCUGUAAGAAUGAAUCAUCCCCGUUAAGCUUGAUCCCAGAGGAAGGUACUGCCCAUCAACUCUAAGCUGUUUUAUCCGACA
rnacentral:misc_RNA from 1 species